rnacentral:lncRNA from 1 species
GUCUUUGUAAUGAAAUGGCCUCAAAUAUCCAUACAGAGAGAUAAUUUCAUUGGCAAUGUGUCGGCCUUUGAUAUAAAUAGUAAAUUUAAAAAUGUAAAGUCCGCCUUUGUAAUGAGAUGGCCUCAAAUAUCCAAACGGAGCGAUAAUUUCUUUGGCCAAUAAUAGGAUAAUGUCCCAAAGACAAUAAAGGCGAAAAAUUCAACAUCAAUAAUGCGGGAUCAGCUAGAGAAACAACGGCAAUCAUAAUACAUAACUAGAAUAAACAAUCAAUAAAACACUGAAACGGUUUAAUUAGUAACAUGGCAGCCAAGAUCCCAUCAUCGAAAAAUUCACCGGAGUUGAAACUUCAACGAAAACAAGAAGAUAAGGAUCAACAAAAGAUAGAAAAAUUUACAUACACAGAUGUACAAAAUGCAGUCAGUAGCAACAAAAUGAAACUUUAAUGAAUAAUGGACAGAUCCGUCAAGAUCUAUAAUAGCAACACUGUUAAUGGGAAAUAGGGGUUUGAAAUAAUGCAGUAGUGGUGCGGAUGGUGAUUGGCAGCUCACCCGCUGAUGACAAAUUCUAGCGAGGCGGUAGGAAGUGAUAAAAGAAAAAGAGGCAGCGCAGUGGUUCGCUGGACAUGGUGUUCUCUGACGACGAUGGAGCACGGCUGGAGGUCGCCGUUUGUGGACUAUUGGGCAACGAGAAAGAGGUGCGGUGGUGGUAACGAGUUGUUAUCGUUGGUUGUCGGCCGUCCGGUGGCUAACCGGCGGCAGCUGACAGUCAUGAUGAUUUUGGUGUAGAGAGAGAAAGAGAGAGAAAAGGGAUAAGAGAGAGAGAUAUCAAAUGUAGUGUAUUUGUGUUAUGCGUAUGUUGUGUUUUUCUGCGUUCAUGUGUGUGUGGGUGUGUAUAUAUUAUUAUUUUUGAAAGAAUUGUGUGGUUCCCCCUUUUUUUAAGGGGAGAGGUAAGAAAUA